AGGGAAUCUUCCGCAAUGGACGAAAGUCUGACGGAGCAACGCCGCGUGAGUGAAGAAGGCCUUCGGGUCGUAAAACUCUGUUGCCGGGGAAGAACAAGUGCCGUUCGAACAGGGCGGCGCCUUGACGGUACCCGGCCAGAAAGCCACGGCUAACUACGUGCCAGCAGCCGCGGUAAUACGUAGGUGGCAAGCGUUGUCCGGAAUUAUUGGGCGUAAAGCGCGCGCAGGCGGUUUCUUAAGUCUGAUGUGAAAUCUUGCGGCUCAACCGCAAGCGGUCAUUGGAAACUGAGAGGCUUGAGUGCAGAAGAGGAGAGUGGAAUUCCACGUGUAGCGGUGAAAUGCGUAGAGAUGUGAAGGAACACCAGUGGCGAAGGCGACUCUCUGGGCUGUAACUGACGCUGAGGCGCGAAAGCGUGGGGAGCAAAC
rnacentral:rRNA from 1 species